AUCGUUUGCUCAUGUUUUCUUUCUUUCUUUUAGAUGCUGAGAGAGCCAACGUCUGCGGUGGACGAUUAAAGACCAAGUCGUCGACAUCCAGAGAGAUGCUGAGAGAGCCAACGUCUGUGGUGGAUGAUUAAAGACCAAGUCGUCAACAUCCAGAGAGCAUCAAACCAAGAGUUGUAGUAUGACCAGCAGGAGACAAUUGAAGACUCCAGUGAUUUUGGUGACACUACAAUAUAUAGAUGCUGAGAGACAAAAUGGUGGACAUCCAGAGGGGAGAGGUGAGUUAGACACGUGCACGGUCUCACGUAGGUGAUGGGUGUUUUGUGUGUGGGUGGCACAUUAUGCUGGUGACCUGUUUUGAUCACUUGUAUGUGUAAUUGAUUGUUUUGUCAGAGAUUGAAGACAGUAGACUUUGCUCCAUUGCUCAUGUGUUUCUUUCUUUCAGAUGCUGGGAGAC
ensembl:lncRNA